GCCUCCUUCUCUCCUCGAGCGGCACAAUUUCAUGUCUCUCAGAAAUUUUAGGUUAAUUGUGCGAGGAGGUAGGGGUUCUAGGGUAGCCAUCUCAUCGUUCAGGUUAAGCGCCCGAGCAAUAGAUGUAAUCAAUCCACCAAAAGAAAUCGGUCUCGCUUUAUUCAUAGUUAAAAUCAUAUGAGCAAGCAUGAACGAGACCAAAUUAAUACGUCUAUUUGUGAGGCUUCCUUGUAAAAAUAGAAGCUCUCUAGCAUUAACCUUAUUUGAAU
rnacentral:lncRNA from 1 species